AAGUUGUGUAGAUGGACCGGCGAACAGACUGAAAUACUACUGAAAUUACUUCGUUUUCCUCUAGAAGUCAAACUAUGAAAUGCUUUAUAGUGCAUAAACUAAGCAGGCGGAGAGACUUUUGUUCCUGAAGAGAGAGGUUGGCCUAGUUGGGCGGGGCUUAGUGUAACAACUUUGUUCUCCAGUAGAUGGCGCUGCUUAGUUUACUGGGGUGGAUUCUUGUGGCGCUUGUAGGUGCGUAUGCCCAUGCGCGGGACCGAUGAACAUGGCGCCGCCCAGCUACCCGUUCUCUAGUAUUGGAACUGUGCUCUCCCCGCCCCAGUAAUAACGCACCCAUCCUUUGUCUUCCGUCCACUCCGCGCUUUUACACUGUCCCUGACCAAGCCGCAGGCAGCACCUCCCUCCUGAUUUUUGUCUCCGGUGCGGCUGUUUUCCCCCCGGCCCCUUACUUGUGAGGGACUGCGGUUUUGACCCGUUCUGCCCUCCUGCGGGAGGGUCUCACCGAGAAAUGGCCGUCUGCCAGCUGCACCCAGGAAUAUUUGCGGGACGGGGUUGCUGCCGGUGCCCAGAGACUGUGGCCAGGUGCCAGCCCACCCCAGAAAAAGUUUGUGAGAUGGUAUAGCAGCAGUGUUUCAGGGAUUAUGGCAAAUCACAACAUGCAUCUGGCAUCAGGCUUCACCCCCAACGACUUUGUUCCAGCAGCAGCAAAUGUGGUUGUUCUCCCGGGUUCACUGGGGCCUUUUCCUGUGGGGGCCACACAGCCUCUACCAGAUGUGCUCCCAGCAGGAGAAUCACCUGUCCCCGCGUGGCCUGAAGACGACCAGACUUCACUCUGUUCCUGGGGAUUCGCCCUUCCCACCAGAGCACCACCAGAUCUCUUGCUCAGGGGAAAGCUGGCUGCCAUAUUUUGAACAGUCCUAUGGAGAAGACUACUUGGUGAGAAAUGGAGGUCUCCAAAUAAGCUGAGAGAAACUGAGGUUCAGCCAUAUAAGUGAGCCCUCUUAGAAGUGGAUCCUCCAGCCUCAGUCAAGCCUUCAGAUGACUACUGUCCUGGCCAACAUCUUGAUUGCAACCUCAUGGGAGAUCCUGAGCCAGAAACACCCAAAUAAACCAGUCCUGGAUUCCUGAUUCUCAGAAGCUGUUUGAGAUAAUAAAUGUUUGUUGUUUUAAGCCACUGUAGCAAUAGAUAAUAAAAUAACGUUCUCUAGCACAAUUACGAACAAAUGGAGUUUAAUGUCAUAAACCCUACUGUGUAAAUAUGGACAAAUCUCUAAACACAUGUGAUGGAAAGUAAAAUAUUAAUUAUACUAAGAUAUAUUCAAUAUCAUGGGUGGGGAGGGAACAUUGUGGUGGGGGAAGUUAUCUUAUCCAAGAGAUAUACUGGGAGGGUUUAUAUGAUUUCUUUGGGGAACGCUGAUACUUUCUCACUCCCCCAUCUCCAGGGAGAGGACAGGAAGCUACUUUCCAACAUAAACCACAAAUACUGAGAAGGGGCUCUCAGGGCACACUGAAAGCUUGGUGUGUGUUCUCUGCAGUUGAAGAUGGGGGUGGUCCUUGACACCCGCCUAAUUCAGGCAUGGGGAAGCUCUAGCUGUGGCAUGUGGGACAGGACACGGAGCCUACAUUUUGUUGGAGAGUUGAGGCCUUUCCAUGCAACAAGUGUUUGCCACUCAGCAGAGGGAAACCCAGGCUGGAGCCACUUUAUACUCUCCUCCAAGAAGACCGUGUAGAGAGUGAAUAGUGUCUGUUUGCUGGUGUGCUGUGGACCACAAGAACAGGGCUGGAGCAACAUGGGUGCAGCAACCAGAGGAACGGAAGCUAGAGGAAGAGGGGGAAGAAGCAAAGGAGAAGGACAAGAAGUCUUACCUUUGGAUAAAGGGUGAAAUGCUGAUUAUUAUCUUGGUUGGACAUUUUGUUAAGUUUUUCUGUUACAAGGGUUUCUGAGCAUGUGGGAAGGUGUCUGUCAUUAAAUUUAAUGAUAGUUAA